CACGCCCUAAACGAUGUCAACUGGUUGUUGGGAAUUUACUUUCUCAGUAACGAAGCUAACGCGUGAAGUUGACCGCCUGGGGAGUACGGCCGCAAGGUUAAAACUCAAAGGAAUUGACGGGGACCCGCACAAGCGGUGGAUGAUGUGGUUUAAUUCGAUGCAACGCGAAAAACCUUACCCACCUUUGACAUGUAUGGAAGAUCGCAGAGACGCGAUUGUGCUCGAAAGAGAGCCAUAACACAGGUGCUGCAUGGCUGUCGUCAGCUCGUGUCGUGAGAUGUUGGGUUAAGUCCCGCAACGAGCGCAACCCUUGCCAUUAGUUGCUACAUUUAGUUGGGCACUCUAAUGGGACUGCCGGUGACAAACCG
rnacentral:rRNA from 1 species